rnacentral:rRNA from 1 species
GAUGAACGCUAGCGGCAGGCUUAACACAUGCAAGUCGAGGGGUAUAGGUUUUCGGACCUAGAGACCGGCGCACGGGUGCGUAACGCGUAUGCAAUCUACCUUUCACAGAGGGAUAGCCCAGAGAAAUUUGGAUUAAUACCUCAUAGUAUAGCAGUUUCGCAUGAAACCACUAUUCAAGUUCCAACGGUGAAAGAUGAGCAUGCGUCCCAUUAGCUAGAUGGUAAGGUAACGGCUUACCAUGGCAACGAUGGGUAGGGGUCCUGAGAGGGGGAUCCCCCACACUGGUACUGAGACACGGACCAGACUCCUACGGGAGGCAGCAGUGAGGAAUAUUGGUCAAUGGACGCAAGUCUGAACCAGCCAUGCCGCGUGCAGGAUGACGGUCCUAUGGAUUGUAAACUGCUUUUGUACAGGAAGAAACACUCCUUCGUGAAGGAACUUGACGGUACUGUAAGAAUAAGGAUCGGCUAACUCCGUGCCAGCAGCCGCCGUAAUAC